rnacentral:rRNA from 1 species
AGGAUGAACGCUGGCGGCGUGCCUAACACAUGCAAGUCGAACGUCCUGUCUCGCAAGAGGCAGGGAGUGGCGGACGGGUGAGUACCACGUGGGUCAUCUACCGUGAGGUGAGGAAUACCGGCGAGAAAUCGCCGACAAGACCGCAUAGGCUCGAUGCAAAUCGAGCAAAGCUCUUUCGAGAGAGGGAGCGCCACACGAGGAGCCUGCGCCCGAUUAGCUAGCUGGUGGAGUAACGGUUCACCAGGGCGACGAUCGGUAGCUGGUCUGAGAGGACGAUCAGCCACACUGGGAUUGAGAACGGCCCAGACUCCUACGGGGGGCAGCAGUGAGGAAUUUUCGUCAAUGGGGGCAACCCUGAACGAGCAACGCCGCGUGCAGGAGAAGGUUUUCGGAUCGUAAACUGCUUUUCUCGGGAAGAGAAUGGACGGUACCCGAGGAAUCAGCCCCGGCUAACUACGUGCCAGCAGCCGC